GUCGUCAGCCAAGACCAUUUACGAAAUAUCUUAUUGCUUCUCUGGAGUUAUAAAUUUGGCAAUAACAUUUGUAGUUAGCAGCGUCGUCUCUGUGUUGACUGGUGUAGUUCAUCCGAAAGCUGAAGAUGGCGUUGUGUGUCGUGUGUGUGGCAGAAUCUACCUGAGACUGUGGCAGUUGUUCAGUAAUCACAAUACCUGCACCUGAAACACUUUUAUGAAGAAGAGUCAAUAGAAGCUUAAGAAUUUUAGCAGCAGUUCCUACCUGGAGUUUACCUGGAGAGGGUUUCGUGGGUCAACGCCCUCGCGGCCCGGUCUGAGACCAGGCUCUCAGAGUAUUGCCGUCAUCACUUUCAAUAAAAGUCUCCAGACAGUUGUUACACAUCAAGAUUAUAUUACAAUUAUCA